rnacentral:lncRNA from 1 species
GUUGCCCAGAUAGACAACCCAAGAGGGGGGGUGAAUUGGGUUUUAAAAUAAUUUUUACAAUUAAAUGGUUUGUGAGAUACUAAUUAAUCCUUUUUGCAAGUUGAUUAAUUAGAUGCUAUGUGCAGUGAACGAAAUGAAAGUGAGAGAGACAAAUGCAAUCACAAACACAAUAAUUUUAUAGUGGUUCGGAGCUAACCCUUGCUCCUACGUCCACUCCCCAAGCCUCACUUGGGAAUUCUCUAUAACUCCUCGGAUUACAGCCGGUUGUUUUACAAGCUCACAACCAAACUUGUUGUUUUACGAGGUCACAACGAACUCGGUCGGUUUUUCCAGGCUCACCAACUAGAACCACCCCGAUUGUUUUUCCGGGAUCACAAUCGAACCCUUACACGUUGGUUUCAACCUAGGCUCACCAACAAACCUAUAUACCCUUGAUUCAAUCCCCUGAUUGA